rnacentral:sRNA from 1 species
AAUGGCAGGGACAAAAGGGUCACGAUCCCAUGAAGGUGAGCUAACUCCAAAAACCCGUCCUCAGUUCAGAUCGUAGGCUACAACUUGCCUACAUGAAGCUAGAAUAGCUAGUAAUCGCCGGUUAGCCAUAUGGCGGUGAAUUCAUUCAUGAGCCUUGUAUUUACCGCUCAUCACACUAUGGGAGUUGGCCAUACCCGAAGUCGUUACCUUAACCGCAAGGGGGGGAUGUCAAAGGUAGGGCUAGUGAUUGGAGUGAAGUUGUAAUAAGGUAGCCGUACUGGAAGGUGCGACUG